AACAACUUUGGGGACUCCACCAAAAAAUGUGCAACAUAUCCCACGAAGCAAAGAAAAACAACAAAAAAAAAAAACAAAACUAAAAAAGAAAAGAAAAAACCAAAGCAGAAAGAGCUGAAGAAACCCAUUCAUCUUCCAUAGCUAGAGAUGCAUGUCCAGAAAAGCUCCAACGCCGUGUGAACUUGCCACUGAUCAACGCUCACAGUUGAAGCCACAUCAAGAACUGCUAGUAUGGAUUCAAAUCUAGCAAGCACCCCCGAUUCCUAAAAUUUCCGGCAAACUCAGCCCCUCCCCACCUAUAUAUGUCCACCACUACCAAAAUCGAUGUUGGUCCUUCCACCACCCAACAAACAUCCCUCCUUCGGAUAAAGCUUUCACGGGCCAAUAGCUGUUUAGCUUGGAGAUAAGCACUACUGAGUCGCCUUUAAGUUCAACACAUGGAAACCCCAGAUCCCGGGCAAAUCCAAGAGCUCGCAUGCAUGCCAGGGCUUCCGUUGUCAACAAGCAAGGUUAUCAAAGAACCUGUCAUAAAAAUUGACGCAGACCCAAGAAUCAACAGGAGGCCUCCAAAGUAGUGACUCAGUGGCCGCGAUGUUUCCAGAGCCCGAUGGAAGAGAUUCCAAGUCACGCAGAUAGCCUAAUACAAAGAUAAGUAGAGACCGAACCGAUUGAUAAACUCCCUCAUAGGUGAUUUUAUUUCUGGAGGUCUAAAUAGUCCAUACAGUAAUAAUAAAAAGCUGCACUUGUCUCAUAUGUUUAGCAGAUAGUUGCCCAACCCAGUGGAUAUGUGUAUCUUCAGAAUCUGGAACAUUAUCCCAAUUGAUGCCUAGAUUGUGUGUCAAAUUUGCAAGACACUAGGACAAUCCGAACAGACAUGAAGAAUGGUUUCAGGACCACAACCAUAGUGAGGGCACAUUUGAUCUAACCUGAGUAUACGCUGAAAUAAAUUAACCUUUAUAGGGAGAAAACUGCUUAUUUAACACUAGCAUGUAAUUUUCAUUUUCUCGGGCACUUGAGCCCCCUAUAUUUGUUUGUAAAUAAGUCUCGUGGUUUGUGUUAUAUUUCUGUAAUAAUCAUCAUCUGUCUUUGAGAAGCCUCGUAACAGCAACUUAUAUUCGCUCCGGACCAAUUACUCCCUAUUGUCCUCCAAGAACCAUCACCAAUGAUCUGCCAAAUCAUGAACGGUUAACGAGCUACUUAAUAUGCAUCGCACGAUCAGGGCGUUUACCUAGGAAGCCGAACAUCAUCCCAGACCGAGAUUGAGAGCCCAUUGCCCACUUUCCAACCACAACCUAUUUACAGAAGGCCUUUAGCGGCCCAGAUACUUUGCCAAACAAAGGAAGGUUGAUGUCCUAACUCUAUUUCCAUAAAAUUGCUAGUAGGGUAAUAUUUAGUUUUAAGCACACGCGCCAUUAAAGAACUCAGACUAGUCGUUAGACACCAACCUUGCUUGGUUAGUAGAGCAAUGUUAACCUUCAAUAGAUCACAAAAACCCAACCCACCAACCUCCUUCAAAUCACACAAUCCCUCCCAAGAACACCAAUGAAUCCCCCUCCUCGUGGUUGACUUACUCCACCAGUACCGACACAUUAAAGCCUACAACUCUUUAUAAAAGGAACUAGGAAGUAAAAAAAUAAAACAUCGAGUAGAUCAGGAUAGCUUGCAAAAUCGGAUUAAUAAAAAUGACUUUACCCCCUUGUGAAAGGCAUCGAUUAUACCAUCGACCAAUUCGUUCAAGAAAUCAUUCUUUAAUAGCUCGAGAAUCCCACUUUUUAUUCUUUCCAACAACUAUAGCAAGCCCAAAUAAUUCCCAAGAUCCAUAGUGCUUCGGACACCCAACACUCAUUCAAUAGCAUUGCGCAACCCAUGAUCAAUGUUUCAGCUAAAGUAAACAAUAGACUUUCCAAAAUUGAUUUGUUUCCCUGAACACAACUCAUAUUCCUAUAGAAUGGCCACUACAUAACUCGCCCCCAAAAUAGUCUCGCCAAAUAUCAAGUUUUCAUCGACAAAGAAUAAAUGAGAAACCCGAGGCUCCCCACAACUCACUUAGACCCCCCUUAAAAGGCCAUCAUUACACGCCAGAUUCAACAAAAUAGGAAGGCACUCACUACAAAAUAAGAACAAGAAAGGGCUUAAUGGAUCACCUUGACGAAGGCCACGAUAUGGUACAAUAAAACCUUUAGCCUCUCCAUUCACAACAACUGAAUAUCUGACUGUUUGAACACACCAUAUGAUCAAAUUAACCCAGCUCACAUCAAAUCUCAUUUUGAUCAUAAUCGUCUGUACUAAAUGCCACUCCACCUUAUCAUAGGCCUUGCUCAUAUCCAACUUUAGAGCAACAGUUCCCCGAUGGCCCAUUCGCUUCCUUUUAAAAGAGUGUAACAACUCAAAAGCAACAAUGGCAUUAUUAGUGAUCAGCUAACUAGAAACAACGACAUUCUACCCCUCAUCAAUGUAAUGAGGCAUAAUCUUCUGUAACCUAUUAACGAGCACCUUAGAUAUAAUCUUAAAUAACAUAUUACAUAAACUAAUAGGCCGAAAGUUUGUCAUGUUCUGUGGAUUACAUUGUUUAGGGAUGAGAACAAUAUUGGUGUCAUUAAUUUCACUAAGGGAUCCACCAUCAUUAAGUAUAUGUAAGUAAAAAUUACAGACAUCCUUACCCACUAUAUGCCAAAAUUUCUAAUAAAAUAAAGUAGGCAUACCAUCACUACCUGCUACCUUAUCAGGUGUCAUCCCCCAAACAGCCAAUAGAACCUCUUCCACAAUGAAUUCAAACUGCAAAAUAGCAUUCAUAUCGUCAGUAACACGAAUCAAGAUACAAAAUAACAGCAUACGUAUAUCUCCUGGACCUUGAGUCGUAAAUAGAUUAGUAAAACACAAGUAAGCCACUCUUUCAAUCUCCCCCUCCCCCUCAAUCAUACCCCCAUCAGCAUUUGCAAUUCGAUCCACAGCAUUAACUCGUCAACGUUGCAUAACAAACCAAUGAAAAAAACACAGUUUUACGGUCACCAUGUCGUAACCAUGUAGUUAUAGCUCUCUUUUCUUAGUACUUUUCAACCUUGUCAAUUUCAAGGUUAAGAUGCAUCUUAGCCAUCACUAUCUCUUCAAAGACAUCAUCUUUUGGAGCCGCACCAACAAGAGCAUGAAGGCGAUCCUGAAGCCAACGAACACUCAUUUUCGAUAAACCUCGCACUCUCUUGGCCUAAGCCAUCAAACCCUUACCCAUAGAUCCAAUGAGAGUAGGAACAUAGCCCACCGAAACCUCUCAAAGACGCUUAAGUUUAGCCUCACAAGAUUCUUUUAACAACCAAGAAGCCUCAAACCAAAAGCUCCUAGUCCUAUGCCCUGUAUAUACGUAACAUCCGUAUCAAGCAGUAAUGGGCAAUGGUAAGAGAUGGAAUGCACAUAGUGGAUGAGUUUGUAGUUAGAAAAUAAAUGUCUCUACGUCGUUGGAUGAGUUUGUAGUUAAAAAAUAAAUCUCUCUACGCUGUUUGAGCCACCUCCUAUCAAGCCAUUCCCAGAUGUUGUUAUGAUGGAAUUUGCCCCUCUCCUAUGUAUACUAAUGCCCAACAAACCCUAGAUCAAAGAGCUCAACAUCCUCAAGCAUAGAGUGGAAAGCAUUCAUAAGUCAUUCAUCCCUCAAACGCCCUCCCUGCUUUUCUUGCGAAAAUAGAAUUUCAUUAAAAUCCCCCAUAAUUAUCCAAGGAUAAUCGAAAUCAACAGCUAGUUCUUGCAAAAGAUCCCAUGAUUAAAAAUGCCCACUCUGAACCGGUGAACCAUAGAACCCUGUAAACUGACAUUGAUUGCCUUCAAAAUCCUCCUCUACCAAUACAUCAUAUAAC